AUUAUAGUAUAACCAGGUUAAAGUAGGACCAGGUUAUAGUAGGACCAGGUUAUGGUAUGACCAGGUUAAAGUAGGACCAGGUUAUAGUAGGACCAGAUUAUAGUAGGACAGAGUACCAAGGGAUGUAGGACCAGGUUAUAGUAGGACCAGGUUAUAGUAGUACCAGGUUAUAGUAGUACCAGGUUAUAGUAGGACCAGGUUAUAGUAGGACCAGGUUAUAGUAGGACCAGGUUAUAGUAGGACCAGGUUAUAGUAGGACCAGAUUAUAGUAGGACAGAGUACCAAGGGAUGUAGGACCAGGUUAUAGUAGGACCAGGUUAUAGUAGGACCAGGUUAUAGUAGGACCAGGUUAUAGUAGGACCAGGUUAUAGUAGGACCAGGUUAUAGUAGUACCAGGUUAUAGUAGGACAGAGUACCAAGGGAUGUAGGACCAGGUUGUAGUAGAACCAGGUUAUAGUAGGACCAGAUUAUAGUAGGACAGAGUACCAAGGGAUGUAGGACCAGGUUGUAGUAGAACCAGGUUAUAGUAGGACCAGGUUAUAGUAGGACAGAGUACCAAGGGAUGUAGGACCAGGUUAUAGUAGAACCAGGUUAUAGUAGGACCAGGUUAUAGUAGGACCAGGUUAUAG